UACGGGGGGGGCAAGCGUUGUUCGGAAUUACUGGGCGUAAAGGGCUCGUAGGCGGCCAACUAAGUCAGACGUGAAAUCCCCAGGCUCAACCUGGGAACUGCGUCUGAUACUGGAUGGCUAGAGGUUGGGAGAGGGAUGCGGAAUUCCAGGUGUAGCGGUGAAAUGCGUAGAUAUCUAGAGGAACACCGGUGGCGAAGGCGGCAUCCUGGACCAAUUCUGACGCUGAGGAGCGAAAGCCAGGGGAGCAAACGGG
rnacentral:rRNA from 1 species